rnacentral:rRNA from 1 species
UACGGAGGGUGCAAGCGUUAUCCGGAAUCACUGGGUUUAAAGGGUGCGUAGGUGGCGCUGUAAGUCGGGUGUGAAAUCCUGAGGCUUAACCUCGGAACUGCAUUCGAUACUGCGGCGCUUGAGGACUGGAGAGGAGACUGGAAUUCAUGGUGUAGCAGUGAAAUGCGUAGAGAUCAUGAGGAAGACCAGUGGCGAAGGCGGGUCUCUGGACAGUUCCUGACACUGAGGCACGAAGGCCAGGGGAGCAAACGGG